CAAAAAAAACAAAAACAAAAACAAAAGAAAAAAAUGAAACGACAAAAACAUCGUUCUUGCCGUCUCCGCCUUCAGUUUCGCCUGAGAAAACAAUUUCUUAUUUUACCUGUCAGCCAAUGGAUCUCUUCCUUGAUACCUUUUUCUUUUCCUUCAUCCUUCUCAUUUCUACCUUCGAUUCCUAUUUCUUAUGAAUCUCUAAAUCUUCUGAGCUUAAUCCUAUGACCAUCAUAGAUUUGCUGGACUUGCUUUCAUAUUUUCAUCUACUAUCCUCCAUUCCUCCUACAGAUCCUGGCCUUGAGAUCAGAAACAUGUGUGAAACCAUCGGUGGCAGCCAUGACUUAUACGAAGGUAAACGAAGAAGAAUAGAGUGUUUGGAUACACUUAUAAUAUAUCAAGGAUCCGAAUGAGAUUCUCCCAAACAGUUAUGAUCCGCGUCCCAUAUACAAUUAAAUUUACCUUGUUGCCCUUAAAUUUUUUUUUUUCCUCUUCUUCCUUUGUUUGCUCGUAGGGUCAAAUUAUGGAAUUUUUUGACAAAGUUUUUUUUUUUCCAGUUUUGUACUCCCCAAUUAAUAGUAUAGAUAUGAAAUUUGAAUUUAUAUGAA